GGGAUGCAGCUCAGUUGGUAGAGUGCUUACCUUGCAUGCUCAAGGUCCUGGGUUCAAUCCCCAGCAACACA
rnacentral:tRNA from 1 species